rnacentral:tRNA from 2 species
GGACCCGUAGCUCAGCCAGGAUAGAGCGUCGGCCUGCGGAGCCGAAGGGCCCGGGUUCAAAUCCCGGCGGGUCCG